UGGCCCAAUGGAACCCAUUCUUG
rnacentral:misc_RNA from 1 species